rnacentral:rRNA from 1 species
UGGGGAAUAUUGCACAAUGGGCGCAAGCCUGAUGCAGCCAUGCCGCGUGUGUGAAGAAGGCCUUCGGGUUGUAAAGCACUUUCAGCGGGGAGGAAGGCGUUAAGGUUAAUAACCUUGGCGAUUGACGUUACCCGCAGAAGAAGCACCGGCUAACUCCGUGCCAGCAGCCGCGGUAAUACGGAGGGUGCAAGCGUUAAUCGGAAUUACUGGGCGUAAAGCGCACGCAGGCGGUCUGUCAAGUCGGAUGUGAAAUCCCCGGGCUCAACCUGGGAACUGCAUUCGAAACUGGCAGGCUGGAGUCUUGUAGAGGGGGGUAGAAUUCCAGGUGUAGCGGUGAAAUGCGUAGAGAUCUGGAGGAAUACCGGUGGCGAAGGCGGCCCCCUGGACAAGGACUGACGCUCAGGUGCGAAAGCGUGGGGAGCAAACAGG